GUGGGGGGGGGGAUGGGGGGGUUAUAUUCUGCUGACAAACACAGAUGAGCGCGAUUGUUGAUUCAGGGCUACCAUCACAGCAGGCACGCUGAGAAUGCCAAUGAAGGGAGGGUGACCGAACAGGAGGGGUGGUCUGAAAAGAGAAAAAAGUGUUUGGCAGGUGUAUGGAAGGUGUCGUGUCGCCGGGAGACUGCAUAGCCCAUCAUCGGCGCAUGAUGGUGAUGCUCUCCAGAGAGGGGAAAGAAGCCAGGCGGUGAUAGCUCGGUCGGUUGGCUGGUCGGAGAGGGAAAGCAAAACACACACUGAGAACACUCAUGCAGAAAGCCUAUUGCCUAUAAGUCUACACACCUCUGAUGGGAGCCAGAUCUCAGGGGACAAGAGUCAAUCUAGACUGCCUACCCCAGGGCAAUCAAGAAUCGUGACUUUUGAGAGAGGAAUAUGAAGUCUUCUGAUGUAUCUUAAGGUUAUUGUUUGGGUUGUUGGUAUCAUCAGUUUCUCAAUCAAACACACACAAACAAGAGCAGGUUGCAAUAUCUUUAAGAGUGGCCUUGCCAAUAGCAGCAGCCAGCCCACGAGGCAACGUGAAUAUAAAAUGUGGCCCUUCGAACAUUGCAGUCUAAACAAUAAAAAAAUUUGUAUUCAACUGUAACAGAGCCCACCACCAGAGCAUUUUUCAGUACUGAGAAUGUUUCUACUUACCAGACUUCCAUCCAGUCGUAGUUGCACUCAAUCAUUGGUGUAUGCGGUGGGAUUUUCUACCAUGCUUUCAUAUAGUGCUGGAUGGAACAGCACAACUGUGCAGAGGAUUGAAUGUUUGACCACAAACACAUUAAGAUUGCAUGGCGACAACAAGAGUUUGGGUAGAACAUAGGAAUCGUAUCACCCCCCUCUGGUUACAGCGUUGCCCUGAAUAUAGUGCAUUUGAAGGCUCAUGCGCAGAGACUUUACUGGUGUAAGGAAGCUCAUUAUUUGGCACAGAGUGUUCUCGGCAGGAACAGCAGGGGAGCUGGGAUUGCCACAGGCCCCUCACUCAGCUUCCUUUGAGAAGGUGAGAAGUUCAGGCCCGUUGUGGUGCCAAGAAAUGGCAGAGUUGGGCGCUUUGGUGUUGUCAAUGCAUGCAUAAUCUCAGGCCUGAUGGUGUUUUGGGCUGAUCCUCACAAGGCAAUCUCUAGACUCACUUUACUUGUGGCGUGGGAAGCUAAUAGAGAUAUAAUUAUAGCAUGUAUCCCCCACUGUGAUCAGUAGCCUCGCAUUAGGGCAAUCCACAAGCAGAAAAUGAGAGAUGAAAUUAUACACACAUAGAAAAACACUCACGCACACACACGCACACACACACACACACACACACACACACACACAAUGACAUGAAAGUAGGGCAUCAUCCCAUACAGCAUGCUAGUCACGGCCUUAUUUGCGCAGGUCAACUAUACUGGAUGCCUUUAAUCAAAACCAGAAGGUUGUUUUAUUGAGUCGGACACUAUGCCUUACAUGAGUCCACUCCUUUAUGCUGAAGGUGAGGUCAGAGGUUAUUUUGAAUAGUAAUUAGAUUUCCACUCUGACCCACCCAAAAGAUCUAUUGUUAACACUCAUGGGAGAACCACACGGGAGAGUCACUGGGCAAUUGCAAGCAUACAUGGACUUUCACAGUACUUUCACUCAGCCCGACAUAGCACAGUUCAUCAUCAUUCAAACAUUAAGAAAAAAAAUUACACAUAAAUACCCAUCCAGAUCUGUCCUUUGAUCAUUGUGCUAUGUAUUAUACCUCAUCUUGUCCAUACCAUUUAUAGGGAAGAGCACUUACAAAGAGAGUAAUGAUGUUUCUGCUUUCAGACUUGUUGUUAUUUAGAUGUUACACGAAGAUCCUGUCCUCUUUGGGAAAAUAUGCUGUAUCAUAUAAGCCUAAGCAAUCACCAUGGAAAGUAAUGUAAAACGUUAGUCUGUCUUUUUGUGGACACAAAUAACAUGAAGCACAAUCAGUAAUAAGUAUUAAAUUGAGCGGAUGAAUACAACCUCCAUGGUAAGCCUUCCAGUGACUGCUCUAGUGCUUUUAUCCACCCAUACAUUCGCUCAGAGUUCUGCUCAGUUAAACACGAUUAAUGAAACAAAUAGAGAAAAUGUGUUCGGAUCUUUUUUCUUUUUUUUUAGGGAAGAGAACGUGCUCAAAUGUCAUUGCGGACAGGCAGAAUUUAUAAUUUAUUCUGGCAAAAUCCCAUUGCCUCAGUUUCCUGCCUCCCACGUUCCAUUCAGUGAACUCACGGCUUCAGCAGAGAUGAGCAGAGAGGCCCAGAGACUGAUAAUACACAUAUGGCACUUCAGCACUCCCUGUAACAAUCGACUUAAUGUGUAUCCUCAAACCAAAAAUAAAUUGAAUACAUUUGUUUUUGUUCAGAUAAAAAUUCAUGAACUUUUUUUUCCCCAAUGACAUCAAUAAUGUAUAACUGAUGGGAAAAAAUUGAGCAAGCGCAUGCCCAAAUCUCUUGUGUGUUUGUGGAUCGCUGGUGUGCAGAAAUGGCCUUUGACAACUGAUAACAGACUUGUGUGUGAGCGUGAGCGCGCACAUACACACACACACACACACACACACAAAAACUGAAAACAUACACCCACACAAACAACUCACUGGAGAUUGAAGAUAGAGACAAAAUAUGCUGUACUUCUGACACCUGCUCCUCUUACUGGUUCUCAAUAUCUGUGUCAUGCAGACACAUCCGACUGAAUACACUGAACAUUUACUGGCACUGAAAGGCUCUUUUUUCAAAGAACAUCACUCUAACAACCUUGAAGAGAGAUCAUAAUGAUUACAGAUAAAUUCAAGGUCAAAAUUAUGGCUUUGAAUCAAUACCACACCAAGUACCAGCACCUCUACAGUAUAUAGCAUAAUGACAAUGAUGGAGUAUGCAUGUAUAUAUAUGUGUACAUGACAUGGAAAGUACUCUGCCAGUAUGAAAUAUGGGACUGCUGCAAUGUUUUGGAUAUGCAAAAAGGCAUCAUUAAUUUGUACCCUUUUGUUUGGUCUGAGUGGAGUAGACGAAGAUGCAUUAUGUUGAGUUUCUCAUCAGAUCUACUGUCAACUGCUUUUUUCCUGAAGAGGCAGGAUUAGCAUAAUAGUUUCCUGCCAUUACGCCCUUGUGGCCUAAAAAUCAAUUUGGAAGUGACAUGCCAAGUGGUCGUGUAAUUAGCAUAAGAACAUCAGACACACGCUCAGACGCACUGUGUCGCGCACACACAAAAAAAUAAUCCUCUGAACAAAAUUUGCCCUUAUGUCUCAGAGUCCUCCUCUCUGCAGGCCAUGGCAAGGUUGAAAUCCCGGGACAACUUCCUCUGAAUAAAUUACCGCCGUGCACGGCAGAGAUUUGCAUAAGCCGUCAGAUCGUCCUUUGAAUCGGGCUAUUUUAAAAGCAGACAUAGCUCCCCGUACCAUUCCUGUUCGCUCCACAGUCACCUGCCAGAGUUAAUCUUCCCCAAAGUCAUUUAAACACUGGAAUUAAACAAACAAGCCACAUAAGGCAAGGGGGCUUUCAUGCCUCCCAUGGAAGAAUCCCACUUUUAUGAGAGGAAGUUCAAAGCCGAGCAGGGGGAAUUGUGGAGCUUAACUGAAGUCCGAGUGGAGCUCCCAGUGCGACAAGAAAUCCCAUUUCCCUACUGUUGGGUAAGACUUUUUUUAUGUUUAUGAAGUUUAAUUUCAAAGAGCAACACCUUGGGUAAUACAUAAAUACAGUUCGGAUCCCAUAGUGUGCAAAGAUGAUUACACAGUCACCUGUGCGGAUGCUUUACAUAUUCUACCUCCAGUGGUUUUUUCAUGGGUAGGUUCCAUACUGUAUUAGUCUUUGGGGUUUAUAAUCUGGAACAUAAUCAUUUUUAGAAAUGUAGGAAUAUUUUCCACGGACAUGAUAGUGGAAAUCAUUGUGUCCUUAUGUGAGAAAGUGAAUUCUCCCUUCUCACUGCUUUGCACUGGAGUGGAGUUGGACGCAAGAGCGGGACAGAGACCUUGGACUCACACACACACACACACGCCUAGUUAGACAUUUUGCUAGCCACCUGUGCCCUAUUGCCUUCUUAACCCUCCUUUUACCUUCAAAUUUACUAACAUCUUUUAUCCUUGGGGUCAAUUUGACCCUGGCAAUUUAAACCUCCAAAAAAUUAUUAUAAUUAAAAUUUUUAUGUGUCAGGUACUUUAAGUUUGUUUGUUGACUGCCUAAAUAUCCCUUUAAAUUAAACAAUACCCCCAACCACCCCCCUUAUCAAUCCAGGAUACCUGUUACGCGACUAUGGAGAAAUAUGCAGAUCACCAUAAAAUCUCACUGAUUGACCUAAAAUUGGAAAGAGAUAUCCUUUUGGUGUUUUCAUAGCUUCAUAUUAUUUCUAGCAGGUGAUUGGGGACAGGUGUGUUCCUGAUUGGCUGGGCUAUAAAAGCCCUGACCAGCCGGCAGUCGAGGCUGCUCUGGUCCUCCCGGGAUUUGGAUUUUGGUUCUCCGUUGUCUUUUGUUAUACUCCUAGACUGACUUUGCAUGACAUUUUGGGUUAAUCCUUAUAAUACUGAUAUGCACCACACUUUUGCAUUCUUUAUUCUUAAAUAUUAUCUUUAUAAUUUAAUAAAUUGACUUAAUUAUCAUUUAAA